CCUACGGGAGGCAGCAGUAAGGAAUAUUGGUCAAUGGAGGCAACUCUGAACCAGCCAUGCCGCGUGCAGGAAGAAGGCCCUAUGGGUCGUAAACUGCUUUUGUACCAGAGAAAACCACAGUACGUGUACUGUGUUGAUAGUAUGGUAAGAAUAAGCAUCGGCUAACUUCGUGCCAGCAGCCGCGGUAAGACGAAGGAUGCAAGCGUUAUCCGGAUUCAUUGGGUUUAAAGGGUGCGUAGGCGGACUGAUAAGUCAGUGGUGAAAUCUCUCAGCUUAACUGAGAAACUGCCAUUGAUACUGUUAGUCUAGAGUAUAGAUGACGUUGGCGGAAUAUGACAUGUAGUGGUGAAAUACUUAGAUAUGUCAUAGAACACCGAUUGCGAAGGCAGCUAACGAAACUAUAACUGACGCUGAGGCACGAAAGUGCGGGGAUCAAACAGGAUUAGAUACCCUGGUAGUCCGCACCGUAAACCGAUGAUUACUCGUUGUUGGCAAAUAUGACCGUCGACGCGACCGAACGACGAACGGACGAGUAAGUAAGUACCGUUACCGUUACGGGUAGGGUUACGGUUACCGGCCGGACCGGUUACGGAACGUUAAACGUUAGUUAGUUAGUUACGGACGUUGAGACGAGCGACGGACGACGACGAGGAGGUAGGAG
rnacentral:rRNA from 1 species